GACGAACGCUGGCGGCGUGCCUAAUACAUGCAAGUAGAACGCCGUUGCGAACGGGUGAGUAACGUGUAGGUAACUGCCUCAUAGCGGGGGAUAACUAUUUGAAACGAUUGCUAAUUCCGCAUACUGUGCGCUGGACCUGCGUUGUAUUAGCUAGUUGGUGAGGUAAAGGCUCACCAAGGCGACUAUACAUAGCUGAGCUGAGAGGGGGAUCAGCCACACUGGGACGGAGAAACGGCCCAAACGCCUACGGGAGGGCGCAGUAGGGAAUCUUCGGCAAUGGACGGAAGGCUGACCGAGCAACGCCGCGGGAGGGAAGAAGGUUUUCGGAUCGUAAAGCUAUGUUGUUAGAGAAGCGGUAACUAAAGAGAAAGGAACGGCUAACUACGUGCCAGCAGCCGCGGUAAUAC
rnacentral:rRNA from 1 species